rnacentral:rRNA from 1 species
UACGAAGGGGGCUAGCGUUGUUCGGAAUCACUGGGCGUAAAGGGCGCGUAGGCGGCCGAUCAAGUCGGGGGUGAAAGCCUGUGGCUCAACCACAGAAUUGCCUUCGAUACUGUUUGGCUUGAGACCGGAAGAGGUUAGUGGAACUGCGAGUGUAGAGGUGAAAUUCGUAGAUAUUGGGAAGAACACCGGUGGCGAAGGCGGCCAUCUGGACCGCAACUGACGCUGAGGCGCGAAAGCGUGGGGAGCAAACAGGG